CUACGGGAGGCAGCAGUGAGGAAUAUUGGACAAUGGGCGAAAGCCUGAUCCAACCAUGCCGCGUGAGUGAUGAAGGCCUUCGGGUUGUAAAGCUCUUUCGACGGGGAAGAUAAUGACCGUACCCGUAGAAGAAGCCACGGCUAAAUUCGUGCCAGCAGCCGCGGUAAUACGAAUGUGGCAAGCGUUGUUCGGAAUCACUGGGGGUAAAGAAUGGGUAGGCGGCUUGACAAGUCAGAAGUGAAAUCCCAGGGCUCAACCCUGGAACUGCUUUUGAAACUGUUGGGCUAGUGUCCCGGAGGGGUUGAUGGAAUUCCGAGUGUAGAGGUGAAAUUGGCAGAUAUUGGGAGGAACACCAGUGGGGAAAGCGAUCAACUGGACGGGUACAGACGCUGAGGCAUGAAAGUGUGGGGAUCAAACAGGAUUAGAUACCCUGGUUGUCCACACCGUAAACGAUGUGUGCUAGUUCUUGGGCAGCUUAGCUGUUCGGUGACGGAGCUAACGCGAUGAACACACCGC
rnacentral:rRNA from 1 species